UACAGAGGUCCCAAGCGUUGUUCGGAUUCACUGGGCGUAAAGGGUGCGUAGGCGGUCGGGUAAGUCUGAUGUGAAAUCUCACAGCUUAACUGUGAAACUGCAUUGGAUACUAUCCGGCUCGAGGAAUGGAGGGGGAGACUGGAAUACUUGGUGUAGCAGUGAAAUGCGUAGAUAUCAAGUGGAACACCAGUGGCGAAGGCGAGUCUCUGGACAUUUCCUGACGCUGAGGCACGAAAAGCCAGGGGAGCAAACGGG
rnacentral:rRNA from 1 species